UGAGGAAUAUUGGACAAUGGGCGGAGGCCUGAUCCAGCCAUGCCGCGUGCGGGAAGACGGCCCUACGGGUCGUAAACCGCUUUUGUACGGGAAGAAACCCGCCCACGCGUGGGCGGUUGACGGUACCGUAAGAAUAAGGACCGGCUAACUCCGUGCCAGCAGCCGCGGUAAUACGGAGGGUCCGAGCGUUAUCCGGAAUCAUUGGGUUUAAAGGGUCCGUAGGCGGGCCGUUAAGUCAGGGGUGAAAUACUGCGGCUCAACCGUAGAGGUGCCCUUGAUACUGGCGGUCUUGAGUGACGGUGGGGCGGCCGGAAUAUGUGGUGUAGCGGUGAAAUGCAUAGAUAUCACAUAGAACACCGAUCGCGAAGGCAGGUCGCCAACCGUGUACUGACGCUGAUGGACGAAAGCGUGGGGAGCGAACGGGAUUAGAUACCCCCGUAGUCC
rnacentral:rRNA from 1 species